AUGACUAUGCUGAAAUUGGUAGACAGGUCUCACUUAGGAUGAGAUAGCUAACGCUGUGUAAGUUCAAGUCUUACUAGUCAUA